UAAGGAAUAUUGGACAAUGGAGGCAACUCUGAUCCAGCCAUGCCGCGUGAAGGAAUAAGGCCCUAUGGGUUGUAAACUUCUUUUAGACGGGACAAAACCCCUUUACGUGUAAAGGGUUGAUGGUACUGUCAGAAUAAGCAUCGGCUAACUUCGUGCCAGCAGCCGCGGUAAUACGAAGGAUGCAAGCGUUAUCCGGAAUUAUUGGGUUUAAAGGGUGCGUAGGCGGACUAAUAAGUCAGUGGUGAAAGCCUGCAGCUUAACUGCAGAAUUGCCACUGAUACUGUUAGUCUUGAGUACAGUUGAGGUAGGCGGAAUGUGUCAUGUAGCGGUGAAAUGCUUAGAUAUGACACAGAACACCGAUUGCGAAGGCAGCUUGCUAAGCUGUAACUGACGCUGAGGCACGAAAGCGUGGGGAGCAAACA
rnacentral:rRNA from 1 species